rnacentral:pre_miRNA from 1 species
UAAGUACUCUCUUCGUUUCGAAUUACUUGUUGCAUGUAUGAAUGUAUCUAGAUGUAUUUUAAUUCUAGAUACAUCUAUUUUUUAUGACAAGUAAUUUGGAACGGAGGAAGUAAUAA